AACGAACGCUGGCGGCAUGCCUAACACAUGCAAGUCGAACGAAGGCUUCGGCCUUAGUGGCGCACGGGUGCGUAACGCGUGGGAACCUGCCCCUCGGUUCGGAAUAACAGUUAGAAAUAGACUGCUAAUACCGGAUGAUGACUUCGGUCCAAAGAAUUUAUCGCCGAGGGAUGGGCCCGCGUAGGAUUAGCUAGUUGGCGAGGUAACGGCUCACCAAGGCGAAGACGGGUAGCUGGUCUGAGAGGAUGAUCAGCCACACUGGAACUGAGACACGGUCCAGACUCCUACGGGAGGCAGCAGUGGGGAAUAUUGCGCAAUGGGCGAAAGCCUGACGCAGCCACGCCGCGUGAGCGAUGAAGGCCUUCGGUCGUAAGACUCUGUGGGAGGAGAAGAAUAAAGACCUGUGAAGAGCAGGCCUUGACGGUAUCUCCUUAGCAAGCACCGGCUAACUCCGUGCCAGCAGCCGCGGUAAUGUCUAGCA
rnacentral:rRNA from 1 species